UACGGGGGGGGCAAGCGUUGUUCGGAAUUACUGGGCGUAAAGGGCUCGUAGGCGGCCAACUAAGUCAAACGUGAAAUCCCUCGGCUUAACCGGGGAACUGCGCUUGAUACUGGAUGGCUUGAGAUUGGGAGAGGGAUGCGGAAUUCCAGGUGUAGCGGUGAAAUGCGUAGAUAUCUGGAGGAACACCGGUGGCGAAGGCGGUUCUCUGGGCCUGUACUGACGCUGAGGAACGAAAGCGUGGGGAGCGAACAGG
rnacentral:rRNA from 1 species